AUUUAAACAAGCACACAGUCUUCAGCUACUCUGAACUCUGAAAAUGGAAGUCUAAGGAAAAGUGACUUCUGAACCAGAAGAGAGCAAAAAGCAGCUUAACAGGCAGUUGUGCUGACAUAUGAAAUUCAAGUAAAAAAUUUGUUUCUUUUCCUGUCAGUGCUGCAAAGAAAAUCGAGCUGUGCAGUUUCUGGUUCAUUCAGCCCCUGGAGGAAUAAAUAUUCUGAAAGUCAGAUUCUGUCCUUAUUUGCAUUCCACUGAUACUCUCUGGUGAGGGUGAGGAAACUAAGGCACACCGUGGUGGUUAGAAAAGAAACAGAUUAAAGAAAAUCCAGAUGGGGUGCAGGUGCUGCAAAAUGAUACAAAGGUACAACAGAACAAAAAAAUGCUUAGCCUGAAUAAAAGAAAAGCAUUAAAAGAUACGUCUGUGCUCCUCUGUAUUUGUUGCUUAAAUUAAGACUUUACCAGCUUGGAAUUAUCUCAAAAUUUACAAUUUUUUCAAAGUCAUGGCAGAGCACAGGUAUUCUGAUUUCCUAUGAACAUCCUUUUGAUUUACUGUAAUGACGGUUCAUUUCUGUAAUUCCUAACCCCCAGAAAAGCUGUGUGGCAUUCAGAAUUUGUCUUUACCAAAGUUUUUUCCCCACCUAGGUAGCAUGAGCUUGCCUCAACUCAGUAGAGUAAGAAGAAUAGACUUUGUCAGAUCCUCCCUCUCCCCUAAACACUGAAAAUGAGCUACAGAUCCUUACUUCCAUCAUAGCUUUUAAAUGUAGUUAGUUGUGAGAACAACUCCCACAUUAAAAGUCUCUCUCAGUAGAAGUUUGCCAGCUCUAGAAAGA
rnacentral:lncRNA from 1 species